AAUGAACGCUGGCGGCAGGCCUAACACAUGCAAGUCGAACGAGUGGCGGACGGGUGAGUAAGGUCUGGGAAACUGCCUGAUGGAGGGGGAUAACUACUGGAAACGGUAGCUAAUACCGCAUAUCAUCGAGUGUGCCCAGAUGGGAUUAGCUAGUAGGUGGGGUAAAGGCUCACCUAGGGGACGAUCCCAAGCUGGUCUGAGAGGAUGACCAGCCACACUGGAAAUGAGACACGGUCCAGACUCCUACGGGAGGCAGCAGUGAGGAAUAUUGCACAAUGGGCGCAAGCCUGAUGCAGCCAUGCCGCGUGUAUGAAGAAGGCCUUCGGGUUGUAAAGUACUUUCAUCGGGGAGGCGUUACCAACAGAAUAAGCACCGGCUAACUUCGUGCCAGCAGCCGCGGUAAUUC
rnacentral:rRNA from 1 species